rnacentral:rRNA from 1 species
GGAUACACCUGUUCCCAUUCCGAACACAGAAGUUAAGCUCUUUAGCGCCGAUGGUACUUGGUGGGAAGCUGCCUGGGAGAGUAGGACGUAGCCACGU